UACGGAGGGAGCUAGCGUUAUUCGGAAUUACUGGGCGUAAAGCGUACGUAGGCGGCUUUGUAAGUUAGAGGUGAAAGCCUGGAGCUCAACUCCAGAACUGCCUUUAAAACUGCAUCGCUUGAAUCCAGGAGAGGUGAGUGGAAUUCCGAGUGUAGAGGUGAAAUUCGUAGAUAUUCGGAAGAACACCAGUGGCGAAGGCGGCUCACUGGACUGGUAUUGACGCUGAGGUACGAAAGCGUGGGGAGCAAACGGG
rnacentral:rRNA from 1 species